AAGAAGCCUUCUUCUUCUUUGAAGAAGAAACAGAAGAUCCGCCUUUUUUAGCAACGCUGCUCAGCUUUUUGUCGUCGCUCUGGCACCAGUCGCAAAUCUCGGUCGGCUCCGCAAACUCACUGUAGUAAUUACUACAAUAACUACAUAUAUUCAAAUUACGAAAUCCGUUAGUUGACUAUAUAUAUAUAUAUAUAUGAUCAUGCAUGCACUAUAUAUGGCCUAGGAGAAGGUACGUACGAGUGUUGAAAGCGGUUGCGGCAGUGCCCGCAGCGGAAUAGCUUGUCGGAAAAGCCGACGUCGCCGCACAUGCAGCACACUUUCUCCAUGUUCUUCUCUUAAUUAGCUGUGUUGAUGGUUUUGUUUCUGCCCUGGAGAUGGAGGCUUGGAG
rnacentral:lncRNA from 1 species